rnacentral:rRNA from 1 species
AUUGAACGCUGGCGGCAGGCCUAACACAUGCAAGUCGAACGAGUGGCGGACGGGUGAGUAAUGUCUGGGAAACUGCCCGAUGGAGGGGGAUAACUACUGGAAACGGUCGCUAAUACCGCAUACCAUCGGAUGUGCCCAGAUGGGAUUAGCUAGUAGGUGGGGUAACGGCUCACCUAGGCGACGAUCCCUAGCUGGUCUGAGAGGAUGACCAGCCAAACGUGAACUGGGAAAGGGGCCAGACGCCGAGGGGGGGCAGCGGUGGGGAAAAUUUCACAAUGGGCGAAAGCCUGAUGCAGCCAGGCGGCGUGUAUGAAGAAGGCCUUGGGGUUGUAAAGUACUUUCAGCGGGGAGGCGUUACUCGCAGAAGAAGCACCGGCUAACUCCGUGCCAGCCGCCGCGGUAAUU